UCAUACAGGACUGAAUGAGGAACAGUCAUGUCACGCCCUGCUGUUCAUAAGGACUGAAUGAGGAACAGUCAUGUCACGCCCUGCUGUUCAUACAGGACUGAAUGAGGAACAGUCAUGUCACGCCCUGCUGUUCAUACAGGACUGAAUGAGGAACAGUCAUGUCACGCCCUGCUGUUCAUAAGGACUGAAUGAGGAACAGUCAUGUCACGCCCUGCUGUUCAUACAGGACUGAAUGAGGAACAGUCAUGUCACGCCCUGCUGUUCAUACAGGACUGAAUGAGGAACAGUCAUGUCACGCCCUGCUGUUCAUACAGGACUGAAUGAGGAACAGUCACGUCACGCCCUGCUGUUCAUACAGGACUGAAUGAGGUACAGUCAUGUCACGCCCUGCUGUUCAUACAGGACUGAAUGAGGAACAGUCAUGUCACGCCCUGCUGUUCAUACAGGACUGAAUGAGGUUCAUUCCUCCAGAUUCUGUCUCUGAUAAAAGAUGUGAUUGAUAUCAGGUGUGUUGGCUUUCAUCAGAGGUUUAUUUAUAAAGCAGAAAACAUCAUUAAAGGUCAUGUGACCAAGUGUACCAAUACAAGAGUUAUAGAAGAGAAAAGAAGUAAACCUAACCGGCUUCAUCUAUUGUCA